rnacentral:rRNA from 1 species
AAUCAACGCUGGCGGCGUGCCUAACACAUGCAAGCCGAACGCGAAAGCCCUUUCGGGGGUGAUAGAGUGGCGUCCGGGUGAGUAACACGUGGGUAAGUCUACCUUCGGGUGGGGAAGUAACGUACUCGAAGAGACGCUAAUACCGCAUAAUGCAGCGGCACCACAUGGUGUAUUAGUUGUUAAAGACGGGGGUCGGCAAGACCUCGCGCCUGAAGAGGAGCCUGCGGCAGAUUAGCAGUUGGUGAGGUAAUGGCUCACCAAGGCGGCGAUCUGUAGCUGGUCUGAGAGGACGGCCAGCCACACUGGCACUGACACACGGGCC